GCAGGAAGUGACAUAGCAGGGUAGAAUCAGAGAAGCAGGAAAUUUCUCUCUUCUCUCUUCUCUGUGGAGACGCUGAGCAGACGUGAUGUAGACCCCAGUGGAAUAAGAGGCCUGGACAUUACCUCUGGUGAGAGCUGGAUUUUCCUGUUCUAAGGAAUGGAGUAGACAGCAGGGUCUCCAGGCUUCAGAAGACUCGUUGAGAUUAUGAACAUCAAUGCUGGGCAUAGUAGUAAUAUUUGAAACAACACCUUGAUAAAAUCACUGUGUUUGAGUCUGCAUCUGAGGAUGCAGAAGAUCUGGAGAGAGACAGCACUGAAACUCCCAAACUCUACAAGUUCAAACUGUGAGACUGUUGGGAACUGACCAUCCUUUGGAGAUACAGGGACCAUCAGUGGAUGUCAAGGCACUCUGGACAGCAGGAAGUUGCUACUGUGUCCACCUGAAGGGAAAGUGGUACCAAUGGAACCGAGGACUGUGUACACAGGAGCUGUGAAUUAUGCUUUUCUAUCUGUUUUACUCAGAACCAGAUGAGGAGAACAUUAACUUAUUUUAAAUUUAAAAAUAAAGUCUUCAAAAAGGCUGGGGACACUAUUCAAUGGUAACUCGAUUGCCUAGCCCUUGCAAAACCCUCAGCUUGGUCUCUGUUAAGUCUCAGGUCCUGGGACAAAUGGCGGAGGCUGCCUCUGCCUGUGCUUUCCCUUUUAUCUAUCACAAAAUUUCUCCUCCACCAUACCUAGGAAUAGACAUGUCUUUCUCUUUUAUUUCUUUUUUUCAGUCAGUCUCCAGCACCAGAACAAAACAAAUGAAACACAAAAGUCAAAACCCAAAUAAAAAUAAAAAGGGAGAAAACAGUAAUUUUUUGUUUGUUUGUUUGUUUGUUUUUUUGUUUUUUGAGACAGGGUUUCUCUGUGUAGCCCUGACUGUCCUAGAAUUCACUCUGUAGACCAGGCUGGCCUCUACUUCACAGAGAUCCACCUGUCUCUGUCUCCCAAGUACUGGGAUUAAAGGCAUAUGCC
rnacentral:lncRNA from 1 species